CCUACGGGGUGCAGCAGUGGGGAAUAUUGCACAAUGGGGGAAACCCUGAUGCAGCGACGCCGCGUGAGCGAUGAAGUAUUUCGGUAUGUAAAGCUCUAUCAGCAGGGAAGAAGAUGACGGUACCUGGGGAGGAAGCUCCGGCUAACUACGUGCCAGCAGCCGCGGUAAUACGUAGGGAGCGAGCGUUGUCCGGAAUUACUGGGUGUAAAGGGGGCGUAGGCGGGGGUGCAAGUUGGGGGUCAAAACUACCGGCUCAACUGGUAGUCGCACUCAAAACUGCAGCUCUUGAGUGAAGUAGAGGCAGGCGGAAUGCCUAGUGUAGCGGUGAAAUGCGUAGAUAUUAGGAGGAACACCAGUGGCGAAGGCGGCCUGCUGGGCUUUUACUGACGCUGAGGCUCGAAAGUGUGGGGAGCAAACAGGAUUAGAUACCCUAGUAGUC
rnacentral:rRNA from 1 species